ensembl:lncRNA
UUUUUUUUUUUUUUUUGGCUUUUUAGGGCCACACCGGAAGCCUAUGGAAGUUCCCAGGCUAGGGGUCAAAUCAGAGAUACAGCUGCCGGCCUAUGACACCACAGCCACAGCAACACUAGGUCAAAGUGGCAUCUGAGACCUACACCACAUCUCACAGCAACACUGGAUCCUUAAGCCCUGAGAGAAGCCAGGGAUUGAACCCAUGUCUUCAUGGAUCCUAGUCAGAUUAGUUCCUGCUGAGCCACAAAGGGAACUCCCAUUACUAUCAUUAUUUUUAAAUGAAUUAAUAUAUAAUGAUUGUGAUGUAUCUUCAAAAGUAAUUGCUUAUAUGGUAAAUAUUGAUAAGUAGAACCCAUUUAAACAAAAGCUCUUUUGAGUUCUCAGAACUUUGUAGAAAUAUAAAGCAAUCCUUUUUGUGCUUUCCUUUUGUGCCUUUUGAACAUUUCCUUUUGGGACUUUAUUAGUUCACUAAGUGAAUGACCCACAUUUUACACUGGGUUAUUUGUUGGUUUUCUGAUUUGUCAAUUCCAUCACCUUUUGUUUCAAAGUAUUCUAGCAAAAUGUAGAACUUAGAAUAUACAUACAUCCAGAAGCUCUAUUUCUGAGUGUCUAGUCUAGGGAAAGCAAGUUGUGACAGGAGAGAGGAGAAAAAAGGUAGCAGCUUAUUAAUUACAGAAAGCCAGGCUGAUCCUCUUGUAAAAAAGAAACCCAGGAUAUCAUUACAUUAACACAAGAAAAGUCUCAUUCAUGCUGCCUGUCACAAUGAGGUGGACUUGGCUCCACAGAGAUCAAGAAAAAAUUAAGAACUCUUCUGAAUACCAGACAAUUUAUUUAUAGAUAUAUGAGGUCAAUUAUGCAAAAAAUAAGGCAUCAACACACUUGCUAUUUUAAGACAAUACUUUCUAUGCCUAUUAGUGUUGUGAUAAAAAUAUAAAAACUGUAUUACUUUGUGUGGAGAGUAUUAGAAAGAAGUCAUAGAAAAAUAUUUAAGGGUUUUUUAAAAAGAUAAUUUAAGGCAGAAGACUAUAUUAUCAUAAAUUCCUUAUUUUCUUAUUUUGUCAACUUAAAUAUCUCAUUUUCUUUCUCUUUGCAUAAUAUUCUGCAAAAUGUACCCAUUCUUGUCUUUUAUGCCAGUUAAAUUUUAAGAGAAAUGUAUUUUAGAAGGUUUUGGAUGAUGUUCAAGAAACAACAUUUUGCAAAAUUGCUUUGACAAAUAAUUUGAUAUGAAAUGUGUGUUUAAGUUUCAGAUUGGCAGAUUAUUGUUUUAAGCCAAUAAAGCACAAGUAAAUUAUACAAAUGACAUAUAAAAGUUCAUAACUUUUUCAUCUAACAGUCUGUAGUGGAUAUAGGGAAAGUGGUUGACAUUUUUUUUGAACAGUAGUAAGUUUUUCAGAAUAUGAAAUUUUCCAUUUCUUUUUAUCUAAAAGUCCACUGCUAAGGUGGAAGGAAAAUAUCAACAAGGUUUUUCCUGAGAGUUUAAAUAUGUGAGUCAGAUGCUAAAAUCUGAAAGUAAUACACUAGCCACAUGUACAUAAAUUGAAAUAUAUAUAUAAAACCCCCCAGUACUUGCAGUUUCCAAAUCAUUUUUUGUAGUAAACUACCCUUAUCAAGGAUGAUUUAUUGUCCUAAGAAUGGUCUUUUAAUGAUGUCAUUGACUUAAUCCUUCAGGCCCUUGAGAUUUUGUAUAUAUUUAUUCAUACAAUCAGAAAACCAGCUUCUGCUGGCAUGGAUUUGCUUAACAAACAAAAUUGCACCUCAGACAAUAUUCCCAGAUUCUGUUUUUCUCUUCAUUGUUGUUGUUUUAUGAGAAAACCAAAAUAUAAAAAGCCAACUGUGCAUAUUGAGAAUAUCUCUACAUUGUCUUUCAUUACUCAAAGGCUAUGCAAACUGAGUUAUACAUGAUGAGAGGCAUAAUCAAAGAGCCUGGAGUGAAUUGUUUGAAAAGCUAUUCCACACUACUCAACCUUAAAGGAAAGAAUGAAAUAAUGCCAUUUGCAGCCACAUGGGUAGACCUAGAUAUGACCAUACUAAGUGAAGUAAGUUAGACAAAGACAAAUACCAUAUGAUAUCACUCAUAUGUGGAGUCUAAUAUAUGACGCAAAUGAACUUAUCUAUGAAACAGAUUCACACACAUAGAGAACAGAUUUGUGUUUGUCAUGGGGGAGGGAGUUGGGAGAGGAAUGGACUCGGAGUUAGGGGUCCAAGCAGAUGCAAACUAUUAUAUAAAGAAUGGAUACACAACAAGGUCCUACUGCUGAGCACAGAGAAUUACAUUCAAUAUCCUGUAAUAAGCCAUAAUGGAAAAUAGUAUAAAUAAGAAUAUAUAUAAAUAUAUAUACAUAUACAUGUAUGUAUAACUGAAUUACUUUACAGUACAGCCAAAUUAACAAUGUAAAUCAACUAUACCUCAAUAAAAUUUUUUUUUAAAAAAAGCUAGUCUAUUGUGAUUUAGGUGGCAAAAGAAGUGAAUUUAGAGUAUGGAGAAAUAGAUUCACACUAUAGAUAAUUUGCAUAACACCUCUACGCAGGUGUAUUUGGAGGAAAGAGAAUGGAGCUUCCAUUCUCACUAUGUGAAUAUAGCAUCUCUCUUGCUUAACCCACAUCAGUCCCCUCUUGUCCCUGGCUUCAGUUUGCUUCAGCUGAAUAAAAUUCUUUUGGUAACAAGAUACCAGGAAGCAGAUGAAAUUUUAAGAUAGUAUUCUAAAUCAAAAUAAAUAUAUGCAAACAAAACUUGGGGGUAGUGGAAAAUACCAUGUAUCAAAACAUAUAAAGCCAAGAAUAAAAACAAUUUUAUUUAUUAUUUAUGUAUUUAUUUAUUCAUUUAUUUAUUUUUGUAUUUUUAAGGUUGCACCUGCAGCAUAUGUAAGUUCCCAGGGGUCAACUCAGAGCUCAGCUGCUAGUCUGUGCCACAGCCACAGCAAUGCAGGAUACAAGCCACGUCUGUGACCUACACCACAACUCACUGCAACACCAGAUC